UCAUUGCCUUACUGGUGUUUGUCCUGAGAGCAUGCCCUCCACAAAUGUAACAUUUCUCAGAGUGCUAUUAUCAGGAUUUAUGAGAAAGUUGAGGUGCAGAGAGGUCAAGGAACUUGUUGCAGCUCACUGAACUGAUGGAGUCUCACUCUGUCACCAGGCUAGAGUAUAGUGGCACGAUCUUGGCUCACUGCAACCUCCACCUCCCAGGAUCAAGCAAUUCUCCUGCCUCAGCCUCUGCAGUAUCUGGGACUACAGGCACGCACCACCAUGCCCAGCCUCCCAAAGCAAGUCUCUUCCCUCUGGCAGCAGAGAAGCGGAUUUUCUGCUCAACCUGCUUUGAUCACCAAAUGAGUCAGGGAGAAGAACAUGGAUGGAAAUAUCCUCAGUCAAGAACUUCACAAGCACCAGUUGCUUUAACCAGGGGCUCUAGAAAUUUUCUAGAAUAAAUGCUUCUCAAUUUG
ensembl:lncRNA novel transcript